rnacentral:rRNA from 1 species
AUUGAACGCUGGCGGCAGGCUUAACACAUGCAAGUCGAGCGAGAGGCGGACGGGUGAGUAAUGUCUGGGAAACUGCCUGAUGGAGGGGGAUAACUACUGGAAACGGUAGCUAAUACCGCAUACCAUCAGAUGUGCCCAGAUGGGAUUAGCUAGUAGGUGGGGUAAUGGCGAACCUAGGCGACGAUCCCUAGCUUGUAUGAGAGGCUGACCAGACAAACUGGAACUGAGACACGGUCCAGACUCCUACGGGAGGCAGCAGUGGGGAAUAGUGCACAAGGGACGCAAGCCGGAUGCAGCCAUGCCGCGUGUGUGAAGAAGGCCUUCGGGUUGUAAAGCACUUUCAGCGAGGAGGCGUUACUCGCAGAAGAAGCACAGGCUAACUCCGUGCCAGCAGCCGCGGUAAUUC